rnacentral:rRNA from 1 species
UACGUAGGUCCCGAGCGUUGUCCGGAUUUAUUGGGUGUAAAGGGAGCGUAGACGGCAAUGCAAGUCUGGAGUGAAAGGCGGGGGCCCAACCCCCGGACUGCUCUGGAAACUGUAUAGCUGGAGUGCAGGAGAGGUAAGUGGAAUUCCUAGUGUAGCGGUGAAGUGCGUAGAUAUUAGGAGGAACACCAGUGGCGAAGGCGGCUUACUGGACUGUAACUGACGUUGAGGCUCGAAAGCGUGGGGAGCAAACAGG